rnacentral:misc_RNA from 1 species
UUUCCGUAGGUGAACCUGCGGAAGGAUCAUUAUUGUAUAACCGAGGUGCGAGGGCUGUCGCUGACCCGACAGGUCGUGCACGCCCGAGUGCCCUCACCCACAUCCAUCUCACCCCUUUGUGCACCACCGCGUGGGUCCCCCUUUGGCUUGUUCGGUGGGGGGCUUACGUUUUCACACAAACUUUGUAUGCAGUGUAGAAUGUAUUUUUUGUUUUUGCGAUCACGCAAUCAAUACAACUUUCAACAACGGAUCUCUUGGCUCUC